rnacentral:rRNA from 1 species
AACGAACGCUGGCGGCAUGCCUAACACAUGCAAGUCGAACGAGACCUUCGGGUCUAGUGGCGCACGGGUGCGUAACGCGUGGGAACCUGCCCUUAGGUUCGGAAUAACUCCCCGAAAGGGGUGCUAAUACCGGAUAAUGUCUUCGGACCAAAGAUUUAUCGCCUUUGGAUGGGCCCGCGUUGGAUUAGCUAGUUGGUAGGGUAAAAGCCUACCAAGGCGACGAACCAUAGCUGGUCUGAGAGGAUGAUCAGCCACACUGGGACUGAGACACGGCCCAGACUCCUACGGGAGGGAGCAGUGGGGAAUAUUGGACAAUGGGCGAAAGCCUGAUCCAGCAAUGCCGCGUGAGUGAUGAAGGCCUUAGGGUUGUAAAGCUCUUUUACCCGGGAUGAUAAUGACAGUACCGGGAGAAUAAGCUCCGGCUAACUCCGUG